UACGUAGGGUGCGAGCGUUUAAUCGGAAUUACUGGGCGUAAAGCGUGCGCAGGCGGUGAUGUAAGACCGAUGUGAAAUCCCCGGGCUUAACCUGGGAACUGCAUUGGUGACUGCAUUGCUGGAGUAUGGCAGAGGGGGGUGGAAUUCCACGUGUAGCAGUGAAAUGCGUAGAGAUGUGGAGGAACACCGAUGGCGAAGGCAGCCCCCUGGGCCAAUACUGACGCCUCAUGCACGAAAGCGUGGGGAGCAAACAGG
rnacentral:rRNA from 1 species